rnacentral:rRNA from 1 species
CUGGCAGUGCGUCUUAAGCAUGCAAGUCAAACGGAAUGUAGCAAUACAUUUAGUGGCGAACGGGUGAGUAACGCGUGGAUGAUCUACCUAUGAGAUGGGGAUAACUACUAGAAAUAGUAGCUAAUACCGAAUAAGGUCAAUUAAUUUGUUAAUUGAUGAAAGGAAGCCUUUAAAGCUUCGCUUGUAGAUGAGUCUGCGUCUUAUUAGUUAGUUGGUGGGGUAAAUGCCUACCAAGACGAUGAUAAGUAACCGGCCUGAGAGGGUGAACGUCAC